rnacentral:rRNA from 1 species
UUGGCUCAGGACGAACGCUGGCGGCGUGCCUAAUACAUGCAAGUCGAGCGCGGGAAGCAUACAGAAGCCUUCGGGUGGACGUAUGUGGAACGAGCGGCGGACGGGUGAGUAAACACGUGGGCAACCUGCCUACAAGAUCGGGAUAACACCGGGAAACCGGUGCUAAUACCGGAUGAUACUUCGGAUCACAUGAUGCGAAGAUGAAAGACGGUUUCGGCUGUCACUUGUAGAUGGGCCCGCGGCGCAUUAGCUAGUUGGUGAGAUAACAGCUCACCAAGGCAACGAUGCGUAGCCGACCUGAGAGGGUGAUCGGCCACACUGGGACUGAGACACGGCCCAGACUCCUACGGGAGGCAGCAGUAGGGAAUCUUCCGCAAUGGACGAAAGUCUGACGGAGCAACGCCGCGUGAGUGAUGAAGGUUUUCGGAUCGUAAAACUCUGUUGUAAGGGAAGAACAAGUACGACGUAACUACUCGUACCUUGACGGUACCUUACCAGAAAGCCACGGCUAACUACGUGCCAGCAGCCGCGGUAAUACGUAGGUGGCAAGCGUUGUCCGGAAUUAUUGGGCGUAAAGCGCGCGCAGGCGGUUUUUUAAGUCUGAUGUGAAAUCUUAUGGCUUAACCAUAAGCGUGCAUUGGAAACUGGAGAGCUUGAGUACAGAAGAGGAGAGUGGAAUUCCACGUGUAGCGGUGAAAUGCGUAGAGAUGUGGAGGAACACCAGUGGCGAAGGCGACUCUCUGGUCUGUAACUGACGCUGAGGUGCGAAAGCGUGGGUAGCAAACAGGAUUAGAUACCCUGGUAGUCC